CCUACGGUGUGCAGCAGUGAGGAAUAUUGGUCAAUGGACGCGAGCCUGAACCAGCCAAGUAGCGUGAAGGAUGACUGCCCUACGGGUUGUAAACUUCUUUUAUAUGGGAAUAAAAUGAUGCACGUGUGCCUUUUUGUAUGUAUUUUAUGAAUAAGGAUCGGCUAACUCCGUGCCAGCAGCCGCGGUAAUACGGAGGAUCCGAGCGUUAUCCGGAUUUAUUGGGUUUAAAGGGAGCGUAGAUGGGUUGUUAAGUCAGUUGUGAAAGUUUGCGGCUCAACCGUAAAAUUGCAAUUGAUACUGGCAGCCUUGAGUACAGUAGAGGUAGGCGGAAUUCGUGGUGUAGCGGUGAAAUGCUUAGAUAUCACGAAGAACUCCGAUUGCGAAGGCAGCCCACUAAACUGCAACUGACACUGAUGCUCGAAAGUGUGGGUAUCAAACAGGAUUAGAUACCCGAGUAGUC
rnacentral:rRNA from 1 species